UGUAUGGAAUGUAUUUUAUUAUUUAACUGCUGAUUACUUACAUUGAAAUAGAUUAUUUUAUAAAAAUCUUCAAAUAACAUUAAUAAUGAUAAUAAAUAAUAAAAACUUUUAAGGGAUCAUUACUAAACCGUGAUUAACAAAAACAUUGGAAGGUGUGAAAAUGUUAAAAUAAGGUCACUCAUGCAUGAAUGUUUAACAUAGAAUACAGUUCACUCCAGUCUUCUAUAUUUGGUGUAUAGAAUGAUCGUAAGGUUCACAUUUCCAACUGGCAGAUAAGUGAUAAGUUCAUAAAAUUUUCUGUAUGGAAUGAAUGUUAUGUGUAUAUGUCUGUCUGACAGGUGUCAUCUUACCUUGACCUCAUUUUAUGGUUCAUUGGUCAAAGUUCAGUUUCCUCAAUGAGGUUUGUUUCUAAGAUACUUUAGGCAAUAUAUGUUAAAUAAAUUUGGUGUAUGGAAUGAUUGUACGGCCUACAUGUUUGUCUGAUAGGGUUUAUCUCACCUUGACUUCAUGUUCAUUCAUCAUUAAAAUGUUAAUUUAAUGUAAA